rnacentral:rRNA from 1 species
GGUUAAGUGACUAAGCGUACACGGUGGAUGCCUUGGCAGUCAGAGGCGAUGAAGGACGUAUUAACUUGCGAUAAGCCCAGAUUAGGCAGUAAAAGCCACUUGAGUCUGGGAUUUCCGAAUGGGGAAACCCAACUGCAUAAGCAGUUACUGUUAACUGAAUACAUAGGUUAACAGGGCGAACCGGGG